GAUGAACGCUAGCUACAGGCUUAACACAUGCAAGUCGAGGGGCAGCACGGUGUAGCAAUACACGGGUGGCGACCGGCGCACGGGUGCGUAACGCGUAUGCAACUUUCCCGUUACUCUCGGAUAGCCUUCCGAAAGGGAGAUUAAUACGAGAUGGUGUUCAGUUUCCGCAUGUUUACUGAACUAAAGAUUCAUCGGUAACGGAUAGGGAUGCGUGACAUUAGAUAGUUGGCGGGGUAACGGCCCACCAAGUCUACGAUGUCUAGGGGUUCUGAGAGGAAGGUCCCCCACACUGGAACUGAGACACGGUCCAGACUCCUACGGGAGGCAGCAGUGAGGAAUAUUGGUCAAUGGGCGCAGGCCUGAACCAGCCAAGUAGCGUGAAGGAUGAAGGUUCUAUGGAUUGUAAACUUCUUUUAUACGGGAAUAACAUCACCUACGUGUAGGUGCCUGCAUGUACCGUAUGAAUAAGCAUCGGCUAACUCCGUGCCAGCCGCCGCCGUAAUAC
rnacentral:rRNA from 1 species